rnacentral:rRNA from 1 species
CAAUAGCGUAUAUUUAAGUUGUUGCAGUUAAAAAGCUCGUAGUUGGAUUUCGGUUAAGAGCGACCGGUCCGCCGUUUGGUGUGCACUGGUUGGUUUUAACUUCCUGUAGAGGACGUGCUCUGGGUUUAACGACCUGGACUCGGAGUCUACGUGGUUACUUUGAAAAAAUUAGAGUGUUCAAAGCGGGCUUACGCUUGAAUAUUUCAGCAUGGAAUAACACUAUAGGACUCCUGUCCUAUUUCGUUGGUCUCGGGACGGGAGUAAUGAUUAAGAGGAACAGUUGGGGGCAUUCGUAUUUCAUUGUCAGAGGUUAAAUUCUUGGAUUUAUGAAAGACGAACUUCUGCGAAAGCAUUUGCCAAGGAUGUUUUCAUUAA